GACAGAGGUGGCUAGCGUUGUUCGGUGUCACUGGGCUUAAAGGGUGUGUAGGCGGAAUUGUAAGCAUCGUGUUAAAGCCCCCGGCUUAACCGGGGAAUCGCUCGAUGGACUGCAAUUCUUGAGGCAAGUAGGGGUGCACGGAACUCUUGGUGGAGCGGUGGAAUGCGUAGAUAUCAAGAGGAACGCCGGUGGUGAAGACGGUGCACUAGGCUUGUCCUGACGCUGAGACACGAAAGCGUGGGGAGCAAACGGG
rnacentral:rRNA from 1 species